rnacentral:tRNA from 1 species
GCAGUGGUGGUUCAGUGAUAAAACCCUUGCCUUCCAUGCAGGAGAUCAGGGUUUGAUUCCCAGACAAUGCA